CUGCCUCCAGCCGCUGCGCCGCGUCCCGCCGUCCGCCCGCGCCCCGGACCUGCCGCGGUCGCCAUGGCCCAGCUGCUUCCUGAAACCUUUUUUACCCAGUGAUGGCUGACAAUUUUCAAUCAAUUCCUUUCAAUUAUGCAGGUAACCGGCAGCAUGAAUGAACAAAAUGUUUCAAUGGCGGGCAUUAAUAAUUUUAAAGAAUGGACACAUAGCGAGGCCCUUGUGUACGCCAAGCCUUGGCGAAUGGUGCCUUUGUUACGAAAUUAUGU